CAGUCGCCGCGGUAAGACGAACCGUGCGAACGUUAUUCGGAAUUACUGGGCUUAAAGCGCGUGUAGGCGGGUCGGCACGUCGGUCGCUGAAAUCCCCCGGCUCAACCGGGGAAGUGGCGCCGAUAUGGCCGGCCUGGAGGGGGGUAGGGGGGCCUGGAACUUCCGGUGGAGCGGUGAAAUGCGUUGAGAUCGGAAGGAACGCCCGUGGCGAAAGCGAGGCCCUGGACCCUUUCUGACGCUGAGACGCGAAAGCCAGGGGAGCGAACGGGAUUAGAUACCCCCGUAGUCCCUGUCUCUUAUA
rnacentral:rRNA from 1 species